rnacentral:tRNA from 1 species
AUCUAAAUAGUUUAAUAAAAAUAUUGAUUUGUGGUGUCAGGGAUGUAAUAUUUACUUUAGGUU